UUUUUUUUAUAUCAGUUGAUAAGUGAUCAAAAUGUUUCAAAAUUAAUAAUUUUAAUGGCCAACUUGUUGACAGUGUAAAACAAUCUAAAUUAAGUAAAAUUUUGAUAGAAAAUUAUUUAUAUUAUUUAGAGCUAAAACAGUACCUCUGAUAUAAAAUUUAGGUAUUUUAUUAGUAUUUUUUAUAAAAAUUUUAGGGUAAACUUCAAAUACCCCCUUGUGGUUUCACACUUUCUUACUUUAGUACCCUGUGGUUUAAAGUGUAUCAACUUAGCCCCUGUGGUUCCGCACUUUCUCACUUUAGUACCCUGUAAUUUAAAGUGUAUCAAGUUAGUUAGUACCCUGUAGUUUUAUUUUUCUCUUUUUAUUAUCCAUUUCACUAAUUUUUUCGUUAAAUCAGUAACAAAGUUAAAAUCAAAGGGUACUAAAGUGAAUAUUCGAUAAAUCUAGGUAGGGUAUCUGAAGUUUUUUAUAUAUAAUUUAACGAAAUAUUAACGGAGGAAGAAAAGAUAUUAACAAAGUUAAAAGUAACGGGUACUAAAAUAAAUAUUCGAUAAACUUAGGUAGGGUAUCUGAAGUUUUUUAUAUAUAAUUUAACGAAAUAUUAACGGAGGAAGAAAAGAUAUUAACAAAGUUAAAAGUAACGGGUACUAAAAUAAAUAUUCGAUAAACCGGUAUCUAAGGUUUUUUAUAUAUAAUUUAACGAAAAAUUAACGAAGGAAGAAAAGUUAUUAACAAAGUUAAAAGUAAAGGGUACUAAAAUAAAUAUUCGUUAACCGGUAUCUGAGGUUUUUUGUAUAUAAUGUAACGAAAUAUUAACAGAGGAGCCGACGAAAAGAGAAAAAUGAAAUCACAGGGCACUAAAUUGAUGCAUUUUAAACCACAGGGUACUAAAGUGAGAAAGUGCAAAACUACAGAGUACUAAAUUGAUACACUUUAAACCACAUGGUACUGAAAUGAAACAGUGUGAAACCACAGGGUGGUAUUUGAAAUUUUUCUGAAAUUUUAUUCUCAGACGUUUAUUGUGAGACUAUUUAUUAUAUAGAUAAAUAUAUUAUGUGGAAAUGAU
rnacentral:lncRNA from 1 species